UACGUAGGGUGCAAGCGUUGUCCGGAAUUAUUGGGCGUAAAGAGCUCGUAGGCGGUGUGUCGCGUCGGCCGUGAAAACCUGCAGCUUAACUGUGGGCUUGCGGUCGAUACGGGCAUCACUGGAGUUCGGCAGGGGAGACUGGAAUUCCUGGUGUAGCGGUGAAAUGCGUAGAUAUCAGGAGGAAUACCGAUGGCGAAGGCAGGUCUCUGGGCUGACACUGACGCUCAUGCACGAAAGCGUGGGGAGCAAACAGG
rnacentral:rRNA from 1 species